CGGGAGUCUGUAAAUAAAAUUUAAAAAAAAGAUGAAAACAUUUCAGUUUUUGCCUUUACAAGUUCACAAGGACACAAAAAUACACGCUGCUCUGCUGAGUUCACCACCACAGCAGCAGCAGUUAAAGAAAAAGUAUAACCCGGAAUAAAAUGAUUUAAUGAAAGGGAUUUGUAUUUUACUGCGAAAAAGUCGACUUCAAAGAGCAUAAGUAAUAGUGACCUAUCCUUAAGUGCUUGUUAUCCUGCAGCAUGUUUCCCUUGGCUUAUUAAAGCCAGACAGAUAGUGUGUUGAUAUCAAAGUUGCAGUUGUUAAAGGAGAAAAUGGAAGAAAUGUGGGGGGAAAUGAGUGUUGAGGAAUGUCUGGCCGUCUGCGUGACUGGUUGGCUGGCUGGUUAGCUGGUUGACUGGCUCCCCAAAUGUGGCUUUCAAAGAUAUUUAUAUAUGCAAGUUCUACGAAGUUGCCAAAGAAACCACCAUCACUUUUCUCCCCCGGCCCAAUCACCGCGCCCUUCACAGGCACAUGACUGCACGGCACACGCAACAUGCUUCAAUGGUCGCGCCGCAGUUCAGGGCCUUUUAUUCCCAUUAAACACACACACGCGCACACACAGACUCAGACUCACACACUAAAAGACUGUUUUUUUUAAAUAUAUCCUCUCAUAGCCCUACAUAGAGCUAAUCCUGAUGCUAACCCAAACUCAGUGACUCUAAGUCUGACCCUCAUUCUAAUCCUGACUCACUAGGCAUAGACCUGUCCCCAAAAUGACAGUGCGUCCCUGCAAUAACAAUAUUUUCCAACACACACACACGUAUGCAUUAAACCAUUGUUUUCCAAAGACUGGGUCGCGACCCUUAGGUGGGUCACAAAAGUUUUUUUUUUGGGUCUUCUUGCAUAAUGUUUCCCAGGAGUUUAUGAAUAAUGUCUAUUGACUUGGGUUGUGAAGGUUUGUGACUUUUUAAAAUAUGGCUCCCCAGAAAAAGAAAUUUGGGAAACACUGCAUUAAACUGCUGUUAAACCUUUUCAGUAACUCCUCUCCUCACUUGACUCCUCCUCCGCCUCAAACGCACAAAGAGCCUGAUAAACCCCAAAGUGCUCCUUUAUCGUUAGCAGAUAUUUAUUUUACACAGUUUAUGGUUGUGAAUGUCAAAGUCAUCAGGGAAACUGCGCUCCAACAUGUUGAUUUAAGGGAACAUUUACAUAGACUGCACUCUCUGCUCCUGCUUCUUUGUCUCUCCGUUUCCUUUCCUAACCAGAACCACAUUGACCCUGCCUUUGAACAUAGUGCACCAAACGCUGCUCUGCUGGUGAAAUGCACUGAGUGGGCACAUGCACCGUGCUGGGCCGGAGCCAAACUAAUAACUGUGCCGUAUUAGCAGGUCACCAUAAUGCCAUGUUUUCACAUGUAGUGGGCUGAAGUCAAAUAAACCAAAGGUUUGACAUGAGCUUUUCCCAGUGUUCUGAAUGAUUAACAUGUCAAAAUGACUUGGGGAGUGUAUUCAUCCAGCUGCUGAUGAAGCUAGAGGGAGGAGCACCUUGUGGUUUUCACCCCAUGUACAUUUGUGCUUUGACUGCGUAAAUGUUUGAUGGGCGAAUAAAUAUACCGUAAUCACAUCAUGUGAUGUGAAGGCAUGAAAAGAUGUGAGGUUUUCUGUAUGUAGCUGUUAGCCUUUAAAAUGGGCAAAAGACUUAAGCAUCUGAGACGUUUAAAACCGUUGAGAGCAGCAGAAUAAAGAGCUAAGC